UAUUGGACAAUGGGGGAAACCCUGAUCCAGCGAUGCCGCGUGUGCGAAGAAGGCCUGCGGGUUGUAAAGCACUUUAGUUGGGGAAGAAAGUUCAAGAGUCGAAUAGGCUUUUGAUUUGACGUUACCCAAAGAAUAAGCACCGGCUAACUCUGUGCCAGCAGCCGCGGUAAUACAGAGGGUGCGAGCGUUAAUCGGAAUUACUGGGCGUAAAGGGCGCGUAGGCGGUUAUGUAAGUUAGAUGUGAAAUCCCCGGGCUUAACCUGGGAAUGGCAUUUAAUACUGUAUGACUAGAGUAGAGUAGAGGGAAGUGGAACUUCCGGUGUAGCGGUGAAAUGCGUAGAUAUCGGAAAGAACACCAGUGGCGAAGGCGGCUUCCUGGACUCAUACUGACGUGAGGCGCGAA
rnacentral:rRNA from 1 species